CCUCUGUGAUCUGGCCAUGCUGACACAGACUUAAUAGCUACUGCCUCUUUCAAAGUAUCUAUAUAUUCUUGUUUAUGUUCAUCUAUAUACUUAAACAAGGUUUUCAACGCUGAUGGUAAUGCCAUGGUUAUUUUGUUAAAACACAGAUGAAACACAGCUCGAAACGCUCGAAUUAACGCAACUGCCAACUCAAGCCGUCAAGUCUGGUAUUCUUAUCAUAAAA